UUUCCAUGUGUUAACUCACAGAUUCCCAGACGUGAACAGAGUCUCCUCCCCUUCAGAUGCUGCUGCUGGAGGAUUAGCUCGUCAGAAACAGAAUGCAGAGAGACUCGCCAAAGCCAGGCUUCUUGGAGACCCGGAUUUUAAAUUUGUAGCUACUCUAUUUCCCACUCGCAGGGAAACCCACAGAGACAGCUGACUGGAGCUAGUGCGAGCUCACCGACUCUGCAUGGAUGGCUGGGGAACCUGCAGGGGACCGAAACAGGCCCUUUCAAUAUUCCUGCUUCGAGUUCCCACCCUGACAGCCCUUCAUGACUGACUAUAAUCUUCAAGGCAGGGUAACUCCUCUUCAAAACUAGCAAGCUCAUCACACCUCGGCUAAAGCAACCCUGAAUGCAACCAGCCAGCAUUCACUGAAGACAACCUGCUUAUUACAUCAGCUGCUACUGGGGAAAUAACCUAGAUGUUUUUGAGAUUUAUUGUCAAUAAUCACCCUUCAAGAACACUUUAUCAAAAUACUAUUAACAACAGAUGAGUGACAGUGCCAGGCAAGGUCCUGAUACCUUUACACAUGGUCUUCAGUGUAGUAAUGAACAGUAAUACUAUAUAGUAAUAAUAACUAUUUCAGUGAAGAAUGAAUAAUGUUUUAAGUUAUUAAAAUUCAUUAAAAUGAUCCUCAGUGUUAUAAACUAAUCCUGAGAAUAGUUUGGUAAUUAAAUAAAAUAAUAUUUUUGGAAACAGAGUCUUACUAUAUAGUCCUGGCUAUCCUAGAAUUCUCUGUGUAGACCAGGCUGGCCUCUGCCUCCUAAGUGGUACAAUUAAAGGUGUAUACCACCACACCUGGCCAAAUAAUCUUUUAAAACCAUUUUAUGGUUCAUGUCUUUAAUCCCAGCACUCAGGAGGCAGAGGCAGGUGGGUCUCUGUGAGUUUGAGGCUAGCCUGGUCUACUUAAUGAGUUCCAGGAUAGCCAAGGAUACACAAUGAAACUCUGUUUAAAAAAAAAAAUAUGAACCAGAGUGAUGGCUCAGCAGGUAAAGGUGCGUGCCACCAAGUCUGAUGUGAUGACUGGAAUCCGGUCUAUAGUCCCCACAUGGUGGAGGCAGAGAACCAACUCCUAAAUUUGUCCUCUGACCUCCACACAUGUGCCAUGGCAUGUGCACACACACAAAAUAAAUAAACAAACAAAUGUAGAAAGGUUUAAAAAUCACUUUGCAUCCCCAAUAAACUCAAUAAAUGUAUGUUCAUAUAAUAGACAAGUAAAAUACCAAGCAUAUAUAUGUGUGUAUGUAACAUUUUAUUUCAUGAAAUAGUGAUGAACUUUCUGCUUCCAAAAUGAUAAGCAUAUCAAAAUCCACCACAAUGCUGUGCUUCAGAUUUUCCCACUGAAGGACGGUCCUAUCUGUCAUCUAGAGUCUAUUAGGAACUACUUUGGCUGAGCCCUGAAACUGAGCUCUCAUGUAUCAGUUACCCAGGAUUGAUCUGACAUUUGCUUCCUGCCAGCAAUCAUGCAAACAGAUCCCGAGAAUCACCUUUUAAAAAUACAGUUGCAAAAACAUGAAAUUGACCUUUGUAGGAAGCAGGGGUUUAUGAAGCUAGGACUGAAAGGUGUGUGCAAAAAUAAGAACUUAAGAUUGGGGAGCCUGUGGCAACCUUAGGCUCCCUCUGUGUGGCAUCUGCAGGUGGCCAGAGCACACUGAAUUGAAGAGAAAGCUUUUUCUUCCUAGAAAAAUAGAUAGAGUGGAACAGAAGCAGGAGGUGGUCAUAAGUCCCUAUUCUCUCCUUAAACCUACUUGAAAAGAAAGACUGAAAUAUUAAAACCAGAAGAUCCUACCAGCCAUGUCUUCCAACAACUGGUUUACAGACCAGAAAACUGGGCCAAAGGGUGAUUGACUCAGGUCCAAGCUUCUCCACUCCAUGGCAUCUCUCCUCCUCUCCCAUGUGACAUUUAUGGAUAAUGUCCAUCUAGGGAGGUUUUGCUGGUGGGGAUGGACUUGGGUCCUCUGCCACUGAGAGGCAGUCAAGGUGAAAGUAAUUUUCUGAUUCCUGAUACAGUCUAGCACAGGUCACUUGGAGGGUGACGAGGGUUCCAGACCUCUAAGGAACACUGAGCACAUGCAGGGGAACUAGAAUUCACUCCAGACCCCUCCUUCUGGACAAGUGGCUGACACAGAUGUUCUGGGCUUCAGCAUUAACUUCAUCAUGACAGCUAUGAACAGUUACAGAUAGCCUGGCUUGCUCCAAAAAUUGCUUCCUACAGUCUUUUUUUAAAAAAAAAAAUAAUAAUUAUUAUUAUUAUUUUAAUUUCAUGUGCAUUGGUGUUUUACCUGCAUUUAUGUCUGUGUGAGGGUGUCAGAUCCACCAGAACUGGAGUUACAGAGAGUUGUGAACUGCCAUGUGGGUGCUGAGAAUUGAACACUGCUCCUUUAGAAGAGCAGCCAGUGCUCUUAACUGCUGAGCCAUCUCUCCAACCCAAAAUGUGUAGCUCAGGCUUGCUUCAAACUCAUAAUCCUUCUGCCUCUGCCUGCUUCAGCAAAUCCUACAUGUGUGUGCGCGCCACUUAGAGUCUUAAUAGAAAGUGAAAUUAAGCUCAAAGAAUUCAUGUACUAUGCAGGAUCUGUGACUCACAUUAAUACAGCAGACAUCUGUGCAGUCACCCACAGGUUUGAGGACUCCCACAGGUGCCCAGGUCCCUCCUAAAAAAUCCAUUUGCCUGGAACCUCCAUGAACCCUUCAGCACGCUUUCCAUCAUCCGUAGAUAAUGUGAAGCAUGCUAGGCACCUACAGAGCACUGCGUCUGUGUGGAUUCAGCAUAGGGCUCAGGGUAUGGCAACUCCAAACGUUGCUUUUGGGAGCUGUCUUAUCUUGCUUUCUGUUGCAGUGAUAAACACCAUGACCAAAAGCAACUUGGGGAAGGAAGGCUUUAUUUCACUUCGAAACUAUGGUCCAUCAUCAAGGACAGUGGGAAAAAGAACUUGAGGUAGGAACCUAGAGGCAGCAGCUAAUGCAGAGGCCAUGGAGGGGUGCUGCUUACUAGCUUGCUCCCUAUGGCUUACUUAGCCUGCUUUCUUAUACCACCCAGGACUACCUGUCCCGGGAUGGCACUGUCCACAGGGGGCUGGAUUCCUUCCAUGUCAACCAUUAAUCAUGAAGAUGCUGCACAGGCUUGCGUACCGGUCAGUCCGAUGGCUUCAUUUUCUCGACCGAGAUUGCUUCUUCUCAGUUGUUGCUGGCAUGUGUCAGGUUGGCACAAAAACCUAACUGAUAACACUAACAUUUUGGAUUUUUUCCCAAAAAAAUAUUUUUCAUCUGUGGUUGUUUGACUGUAAAAACCAUGACUUAUGCAUAUUAUCUUAUCUCAAAUACUAUAUAUUUAAGUGCACAUGUCUUAAGUAUCUUUUGAUUAGAAAAAUAUACCAGACUAUAAAUGCCUGCAUUUACACAUAUAUGCAUUUUUGUAUAACAGUUGGAUUUGUACAUCAGUCUAUUUAUAUUAACAAGAUCGUGUGUGAUUCUAUUCUAGAAAUAAAAUGAACUCUUGAACUGCCA